GGAGCCGCGCGUCGUCGUGACCGCGGCGCCUCGCGCUGGGCGGGCAGGAGCGGCUGCUUCUGGCGUCGGGAAGGCGCUCGGGGAGAGCACGGAGCUGCCGUCAGCACCGGUGUUGUGUCAGGAGCUGUCAACGACAGAAAAUGGAAUGCUUGAAGGAGAAAGAGCAGAACCGUCAGAGAUAGACCGCGCCAUCUGGUGACCUUAAUUUAAAGGAGGGGACAGGUAAAUUGCUGUGAUUUGUAGCCAGAGGGUGGGUGAGACCUCCAAAGCAAAAGGACUCAUUUUACCAAGUGCCAUCAAAUGUGUCAGCGUUACUGCUGUGCUGGUGAGGUGCCAAGAAAGGUGUUGCUGUGUGGUGGGCAGAGGGUCUGGGGAGGGGGCAUGAAGGUCGUGCAACCGCAGUGAGACCGGGCUGAAAGGAGCAGCCCUGCUUGUGCUUCAUUCCCACACUGCUGUCUGUCUCAGGUGUCCAGAGUGCCUUUGAAAAGACAGAAUGAGCUCUGCUUGAAUGUCUGGACCUGACAGAAGUGUGCUUGUCUUAAUGUUGCCUUCUACAUUCAGUUCAAGUCGAAUUCUUGACAAGCUGUGUCCUUAUUAAUCUCAGUGGUGUGAUCUGAACAGGGGGAUUACUUUUGAUAAAUGCUGAAAUUAGUAGUUUCCUAUUUUGUUGUACUUCCUCAUUAUAAUUGGAUAUGCUA